AUUACAAUCCCUGCUGUCCUGGUUCUGGCUGUGGUGCUUUAUCUGCUGGGAAAGAAAGUCAUGUCUCUACCAAGGGAUCAAAGGGAACGAGCCGAGCAUGGCACCAGCAACACUCCUGAAGAUCAUAUUGAAUAUGCCUCCGUGAAUUGGGUGGGAAGCUCUGGGCAUCCACCGCCCCAGAGAGAAGAGACACCGACAUACGCGACCAUCGCUCUGCAGCGGGACAAAUGUCAUUAAUGUUCCACUUGCUGAAAUGCAGGACUCGUCAGUGUGCAGCCACAUCACAGAACCUCCAAAGGGGCUGUGCAGCAAGGAUGUGUGGGACCUUCUCUGGUACCACAGCAGGACAAUGCACAGCACCCAAAGUGCUGUCGGACAUUGGAAUAUUCUUAGGGCAAA